GACGAACGCUGGCGGCGUGCUUAACACAUGCAAGUCGAACGGAAAGGCCCUGCUUUUGUGGGGUGCUCGAGUGGCGAACGGGUGAGUAACACGUGAGUAACUUGCCCUUGACUUUGGGAUAACUUCAGGAAACUGGGGCUAAUACCGGAUAGGAGCUCCUGCUGCAUGGUGGGGGUUGGAAAGUUUCGGCGGGUGGGGAUGGACUCGCGGCUUAUCAGCUUGUUGGUGGGGUAGUGGCUUACCAAGGCUUUGACGGGUAGCCGGCCUGAGAGGGUGACCGGCCACAUUGGGACUGCGGUACGGCCCAGACUCCUACGGGAGGCAGCAGUGGGGAAUAUUGCACAAUGGGCGGAAGCCUGAUGCAGCAACGCCGCGUGCGGGAUGCCGGCCUUCGGGUUGUAAACCGCUUUCGCCUGUGACGAAGCGUGAGUGACGGUAAUGGGUAAAGAAGCACCGGCUAACUACGUG
rnacentral:rRNA from 1 species